rnacentral:lncRNA from 1 species
UGAGACUUGGGCGACCAAACCCUCCAAAUGGGAUGAAGUAUUUUGGUCGCUCAUGGAGUUUUUUCUUGUUGUUGCUUCUUCCUAAUGCGUAGUCGAACUUUCCCACUUGGAGUGGCUCGUCGGUGGAUUUGUAGACUGAUCUCAUCUUCACCAUCUAUGGGCAGGAUCUACGCUUCGAUACCACAUGAUCCGUCUAUAUUCUAGGAUCAAUUUGAUGCAUGAUAUUUUUUUCUAGAGGAAAAGGGGAG